AUUUGAUUGUUUAGUUGCUGGGGAAUAUACAGUAUUUGAUAAUGCAACUCUUCCCUACGCUACAUCACACACACUUGAUAAAAACUUUAAUGGGUGAAAAACUGAAAAUGGUGAAUUACUGUACUGGUAGCGGUUACCGUGCGAUUUUAUUCCAAGAGUCAAUACUCUAAAGUCGACAUCCUCGAGGGAAGUCGACAUCCUCGACGGUGAUGGAGUGAUGAUUUGUCAAAACGUACGGAAGAGUAGGCCACCCUGCACCCACAAACCGCCAAGGAAUAU
rnacentral:lncRNA from 1 species